ensembl:lncRNA
CACACACACACACACAGUAUUUUAUUUUCUGCAUUUCACUUCUGCUCCAAUUGCUUCCUUUAAAAUAAACCUGCCUGUAUACUAAAUAUUGGCUCUGUGAUAAAUGGCAUGUUAUGUUUCUACAUUCUUUUAUGAUGAUGGCAGUUCAGCAGAGUUGGAGCAGACCUCCUGUCGGACAACAUCUCUAAGGCACUAUGAACCAUGUGACUGAUGAGAUGGAUAUUCGAAGAUAUUUUAGCAGAGAGAAAGAGAAGCAGCCACAGGAGAUUGGCAGGCCAGUUGAUUCUGAGCGAGCCUGUGUGAUUGAGGACAUACUUUUUUGAAGAGACUUUGAAGAGAUGGGAGUGUGUGCCUCGCUUGGUCUUAGCUGUGUUCCAGAUUCCUGACUGGGCUGCUUAUUUGCAUUGGCUAGCUUUGCAACAGGUUAUUAUUUAUCUGAAAUAAAAAAGUAAGCAUGCUGUUUACACAAAUAAACUGCAUUAUUAACAUAAUUGUGAUGGUCACUGAUACUAUUAGUAAUUUACAGGAAAAAAAGAACACGAUUACCACAUAGAACAUUUAUUGUCAGUGUUAUUUACAGCUUACUUGAUAGAGUUUUUUUUAUUAUUAUUAUUAUUUACACCAGAGCAGAUAUUGAUCAACAGAAGCUUAGUUACAUUCUUGAAAACACAAGCAUGCUCUGUAUGAAGGCCUAUACAAUAUAUAUAGUUAUAAACAUAUAUGGCUAUAUUCGUGAACAGAGAAUAGCCUAUCUCAGUAAAGUUUUGUCUAAUCAUUCUUACUGACAUUAAGCUAGCAACGUUAUAACUCUUUUAUACUUUUAUAUCGUAUUGCUGUCU